rnacentral:rRNA from 1 species
AUUGAACGCUGGCGGCAGGCCUAACACAUGCAAGUCGAGCGGAAACGAUCCUAGCUUGCUAGGAGGCGUCGAGCGGCGGACGGGUGAGUAACGCGUGAGAAUCUACCCAUGAGUGGGGGACAACCCGGGGAAACUCGGGCUAAUACCGCAUACGCCCUACGGGGUAAAGCAGGGGACCUUCGGGCCUUGCGCUGAUGGAUGAGCUCGCGUCGGAUUAGCUUGUUGGUGAGGUAAAGGCUCACCAAGGCGACGAUCCGUAGCUGGUCUGAGAGGAUGAUCAGCCACACCGGGACUGAGACACGGCCCGGACUCCUACGGGAGGCAGCAGUGGGGAAUCUUGGGCAAUGGGGGCAACCCUGAUCCAGCCAUGCCGCGUGUGUGAAGAAGGCCUUCGGGUUGUAAAGCACUUUCAGCAGGGAGGAAGGCUUACCCCUAAUACGGGUGAGUACUUGACGUUACCUGCAGAAGAAGCACCGGCUAAUUUCGUG